ACACAUCUUUAAAAGAAGACCAUCCAUCAGGAUAAUCAGGGGGCGUGGGUCUGUCCCAGCUCUGCCUCCGACCCAGCUGCCUGCUCUUGCAACCUGGGGCAGCAGGUGAUGGCCAAGUACGUGGGUCCCUGCCACCCAUGUGGGAGACCUGUACAGAGUGCCGGGCUCCUGGCUCCGGCCUGGCCCAGCCCUGGCUGUCGUGUGUUAUUGUGGUGAAUCAGGUGAGCUUGGAGUAACGAACAGAAGCCGCGGCUGGUCCUGUUCUUUUCUCUUUUUAGGAUCAUUUCUCCCUUCUUCAUCUCGCUCUCUGAGUUCCUCUCCUCCCUGCCCUCUUUUCUCCUCCAUUUCCGCCCAGGCUGUGCCUCCUGUGGACCUCAGGGUCAGACGACCAGGGCUUCCGACGUGGGACGGUUCUCUCCACAGUCCCGCAGGAACUGAGGGCCAGACAGAGCGCACGGCCUUGCGCGUGGGGAGGGCAGGGAGCUGGGGCCGGAGAAGCCAGAGCCUCCUCGGGACCACGCAGGCCCUGCCCCACCACCCCCCUUCAGAGAAGGCGGGAGAUCUCUUGAGUGUCCAGACGCGAAGCAAUCGAGGUAACGGGACAGGCUUCCUUCAUUUCAACACAGCUGCUCAAGCUUCUGGACUGGACGUGUCGGUUCCAAGUUACCGAGCGGGUGUGGGUGCAGGAAUGACAAUGAGCUUCGGGCAUAGGUGGACCCAGGACCCGCCAGGCCAUCAGUGUGUCCCUGUCUUCCAGCUGCCUCCCUGGGGCCCCCGGCACAGGCUGCCCACCGCAACUCCAGGGACCCGUCCCCACCUGAGCGGCAGGGGUGCUCUACCUGCUGGCCCCGCCCAAGGCCCAGCCAGGUCAUGUGACCACUCCUGUCCUCUCCAGAGCCCAUCACUGCGCCUGGGAGAGGGCGUGGCGACUCCACGGGCUAACCUGAGCCUCGUACUGCACCUGAAUCGCUCUGAGAAGGGGGAACCCUGCUUUCCCAGGAAGCCAAUGAGGCCGCGGGACCAGGGGAUGUCCCGUAAGUGGAUGCUGGAGGCUGCGCGCGUGUGGGGAGUCUCAGCCCCUGCCCGCGUGGACGCAGGUCCCCUGCCGGGUGCUGGCCGUGCUCCUGCACUACUUCUUCCUGAGCGUCUUCGCGUGGAUGCUGGUGGAGGGGCUGCAUCUCUACAGCAUGGUGGUCACCGUCUUCGGGUCAGAGGACAGCAAGCACCUCUACUACUACGGGACAGGGUGGGAAGCCAGCGAGGACGCCGGGAAGGGAGCUGAGUGAAACGGCCGCGCCGUGAGCCCCGGAUCACAGGCUCAGGGGCGGAGGCGGGGCUGCCUCACGUCCCCAUGAUGUCGCCUGCUUUCUUUUCGGUGCUCACGCUCCACCGCUCCACCGGAGCUGGAAUUGUCACCGCCGACUGGGAUCCCACCUCCCUCCGGGGCUGUGUCUCGGUUCCAGGAGGACUCGGCCCACAGAGGGGAGGUGCAGGCGGGUGCGUUGCUGCUGUACCAACGAGCCCCGACUGUGCAAGGCUCAGAACAACUGGCGCUUUUCCUUGUCAGUCCUCGUGUCUCCCACGGGUAUGUGGGUGAUUGUUGUUAACAUCUGAGCCCUUCAGUUUGUUCAAGGGUCAUUCACACGUUUGUUGUGUCCAAUUGCUAUUUGACAGAGAAACAGAGAGGGAGACAAACAGGGCUAUGUCCCAGUGGGGACUCAUUUCCCAAAUGCCCACCGUGGCCAUGGCUGGCCUCCAGCAUGGGGCCAGGAGCCCAGAACUAAAUAGGUCUCUCCGAGUGGCAGAGGCCCAAGUGCUGAGCCAUCGCCUGCUGCCUCCCGGGUGUGCAGCCCAGAGCGGGAGCAGGGACUCAAACUCAGGGACUCGGUUAGGAGGCGCGGAUGUCUAACCAGCUUUUUUUUUUUUUUUUUUUAAGAUUUAUUUAUUUAUUUGAAAGUCAGAGUUAUACAGAGAGAGAAGGAGAGGCAGAGAGAGAGAGAGAGAGAGAGAGAGAAUCUUCUAUCCCCAAUUGGCUGCAAUGGCUGGAGCUGUGCCGAUCCGAAGCCAGGAGCCAGAAGCUUCUUCCGGGUCUCCCACGUGGGUGCAGGGACCCAAGGACUUGGGCCAUCUUCUACUGCUUCCCCAGGCCACAGCAGAGAGCUUGAUCAGAAGUGGAGCAGCCAGGUCUUGAACCAGGGCCCAUGUGGGAUGCCAGCACUUCAGGCCAGGGUGUCAACCCGCUGUGUCACAGCGCCGGCCCCUUAACCAGCUUUUUAAGUGCU
rnacentral:lncRNA from 1 species